UUUAAUUCUUUGGGCAUCCUGCAAACAGCAGCACCGCUGUGUGCGUGCCUGUGUGUGUGUGUGCAUGUGUACGUGCGUGCAUGUCUGUGCGUGCACGUGUACGUGCGUAUGUGUGUGUGUGUGUGUUUUGCAGCCGCAGCCGCAGGAAUGUGGAUGUUACUUCCAGUCCAUUGCUCGAGAAUGAGAGCAGAGGUAGAGCUGCGUGCGUGUGUGUGUGUGUGUGUGUGUGUGUGUGAGAGAGAGAUUGUGUGUGAGUGUUGUUUGUGACAGGAAUGGAGGGAGUACCCAUGAUGACGUCCACAAAGAUCAAGGUAGAUUGAGUGGUCUCAGCUGACCCGACUGCUGCGUCGUGUGUUCUACAGAGUCAUGGACGUUCCAGUCCAUCGCCCAUGUUAGGGCUCACGGUGAGAAGAUCCGUCACAAAGCGCUGUGAGGUCAUGAUACAACAAGGACAUGGUUGACUUUGAGAACACCCGGCGCUCUCUGUUUGCUUGUCCCCUGUUGUCUCCCGGCUUGCACAAGUUAAGACAUUUGGUCCUCGGCUUUUAAUUUGAGAGCUCUUAUCUGUGGAAGAAGUGCCGCGCUUUAGAGGCCGUUAUCGACCUUCUUUGCCCCUAAACUGUUGUUCUUAUUAGCCGUCUGACAAACAAUCGACGGCAAAUGGACUCAAGUGUGUGCAGCAUAACUGGAGUGGGAGCAGGAAUUCUUUGCCUCUCAUUUUGAAUUGAGAUUUAUCUACUUUAUAUUCACCAUAUCCUCGUCUACAUCCUAUUAUCUUUCUUUCUUUCCUCCACACCCGUGUGCCUCUGUGGAUCCACGUAAGCUGCAGGCCGCUCUUCUCUCUCUCAUAAUUCCAAGACGCCGACAAUAAUGUGGAUGAAACAUUAUGCCAAAGCUACACUAUUGAAUACAUUUUUGUAUGGGAAACAGAUGAAUAGUUACAAGAGGACAGAUAUUUUGAACACUAACGCAGCAAUUCUCCCUCCUCCAAUUCUGAUCUGAACUACUGCUACUACCGCUGCUUUCAUUGUUCCACUUUAGUGGUUGCUAGGUUACCACAAGCAUAUAACACAUUUCUGUCCAAUAAUAUUGCACUGCUGUUUUCAACCACAUAGUAUUUCUUUUGCCACUGUUUUUUGCCAUGAUUUCCUUCAUUUCUCAGAGUAGCAUUUUAUAAUCGACAAUUAUCCAUAUUGUCUCAAAUGCGUGCACUACAAAAUGGAUCAUUAGCGAAACAAACAUAAUUGUUUUUUUUUGUGUCAUGUGUGGAAAUAAGACGACAUCUUUUCUGUUAUGCUAACCAUCCUGUUUUGGGCAUGCCCAUUAAUGAGGGAAAUAAGCAUAGACAGUAAAUGAAAUGUAAAAUAAGGAAACUUGUAAAGAAAAUCCAAGGACAGCAAACAUUUGAAACAUAUAAGACCAACGUGAGCAAUGUCAUUAGCAGCUGCUUUAUGAUUAAUUUAGUUAACUGAUGCCACCUCAGGGUACGACUUGCUGUAUUUUUGUUAAUCCACGUGUCCUGUCUCUAGACUAUUUCAUUCCAGUGGUCCGGACUGUAAAAAACAUUCUUCACUGUGUAUAUAAAGGUACCGGCUCUCUUUCCUCCACAUAGAACAUGCAAAGACUUAUUGAGUACAUUGCAUGCACAUGCAUAGUGUUUAUUUAAAAUCGGGGCCCUGUGUAAUCAUCUGAGCACUUGUGACCGUGCUGUGGUACUGCUGGACACUGUGUGAGAAUUGGUAGGGAAGGCAUGCUUUUGAAAGGAAACAUCAGAGGAUUUGAUGGAGGUAGUGCUUAAACAAGACAAUCAACCGUACGAAAUCCAGACCAAAAAUAUGGAUGCCUGUCUCAAAAAGUCAUAUUACUGUUGUUUAAUUUCGUGGUACAUUAACUUGCACAAAACAAUGCUUAUUAUUAUACGCCUAUAUGCUUAUUAAUCAGAUCUUAGUUUGAGGGAUUUGUGUCUUAAUGUCACCCUCUCACACAUUUACAAGCCUUAACUACGUCCCAUCUUCCUGGUAAACAGUCCCACUGAAGCCCUCUCUCAACAAGAACCUAAAUUAUAAUGUUACUUCUGUUGAAACACUGCUUAAGUAAACACAGCAGGAGCUCUUGCAUGAAAUGAACACUGACGUGACAAACCCGAGUUGAUGACUUAUUUCUACACAGGGACUUUGAACAGGGAACACAACACAAAGCUGACAGAGGGAGGAGACAGGCGGCAGAGAAUAGAGGGAUCUUCAAGAUAAACGACGGGAUUUCGGCGACACUCGCGGAGGCUUUGUCGCCUAGCGGUGCCCACAGGUGCCUUUGAUUGAGCAGCUGCUGUAUCAAUUCAGGAGCCACAGUGGCUAUUUGUAGCUUUAGAGGUACCUCCCACAAUACAUCUCCUGACACAGAUAGAGAGGAAGGCACACGUACAUGUGACACAACCCUCUCACGUCGCGCUUUGCUGCUGUUUCCCUGUAGGAAGAAUCAGGCGCCUUUAGGGCCACGAUACACGGACAUUAAUUUCAGGCACUGGGGAUUUACAUGGGCACUACUUCCUGCAACACGCUGGGAAAAAAAGACCAAAUUACCAUCAUUGGGUGACGAGUUACAAAUACAACAUCAAUAGAUGCUCUAGGCCUCGGGCGUUGGAUCAAGGAAGUAUUAUUGGUGGAGACCAACGCCUUGUGCACCGCUGUAGUUCUGUGUCUCAGAGAAAUUGGUGAAUGCGUUUGCAAAAAAACAGCCAUUUAUUCUCAGACCAAUAUUGAACAUAGCAGUCAAACAGUGCAGUCAGUCAAUCAAGGAAUGAGUCAAUCAAUACAGUGAUCAAUGGGUCAGAAUUCUGUACUGUCCCAGACAUCUGAAUCAAAUCUUCUGUCUUCUCUCUUUGUUCAGACACUCAAUUGACAAAAGUAAAACCAAAUGGAAAUACGUUCUGAUUGUCCGGAUUUGCCUCUGCUGAUCUCAUGUUAAAAUGAUAAUAGUUAAACAAGGUCAACAAUCACGUUCCCCAUACAGGUCUGGAGCAUUUUAUUGGUUGCAACCCUUCCCCAAACAGUCCUCAGAAUGGCUUAUUAAUCAUUAUUCUAUUUUCAUCCCACUCAAGUAUCUGGCAUGUCAACGCCUUUUCAGCCUCUGGAUGCAUGUACAUUCAAUCAAUGCUCAUCACCUGUAUAAUACUAUAUCUGUUUCCUUUGCACUGCACUACAGCAGAUUCCCCAAACUGUUCUUUAUAGUUUGAUGAAACACCUAUCUCUGCAACACUUUAUUAUCUUCUAUCUCGGCAUUGCUCUCACCUUUUCUAGUUGCUUUUCACAUUUCUUUCUCGCACCUCUCAGCUCCCUCCAUUACCACAAUGUUCUCACCCUCUUUUCUCUCUCAAUCAUUAGUCUCCUUUGUCUCUCAACUGCACCACUAGUUUUCCUUGGCCUCACCCUGCUCCUUUUCCCACCCACCUUAAUCUCCUCCUAUCUUGUGCUCUAUAAGUUAAUGCUCAAUGCGUUUUAUCUCCUUUCCUUUUCCUACUCAUUUACAUCUCGUACAACCUUACAUUACUUGCUCCCAUCCACCCCACCGCCCCCCGCCCCAUUUCCAUCUGACAUCAGCCAUUUACUGCCCAAUCGCAAUCCUCCCCUCCCCCUCUAACGCUGUGAGAAAUACCAAUAAGUACUGUGCCUGUUUGUAGCCGGUGCACCACUAUACGCUCCUGCAACCUGCAAGAGUGCACCAACUGAACCGAGCUGGCCCGCACCACGCAGAGAAUCAUUGGCUUCACAGCUGACGACUGCCUACACACGCUGCACAGCGCGGGUGUGUGUGGGUGACAUUUUAGAAAUGAACUCCAAACCAAAUCCAGAAUAAAUCAAAUGUAGGCAUCCACCGCAUUGCCAAUGUGAGUCAAAAACAAAGGUUUUAGUUUGCUCGAAACAAUAGUUUGGACAGUGAGUAAUAUGUGGGUGAUGUGAAUUAAAAUCAGGCUGAUAGUUGAAGAGUUUGUCUUAUACUGAUAGACACCCCUCGGGAUAUACCUGUUGUAUCCAGUGACAAUCCAUCAGGUUGACAAAUAACAGCUGAUGAGGCAGAAUUCCCAGCCCAUGUAAAUAAAUGCAUGUGAGCCCACAACUCCACUGAUUUAUGAUCCCUUUGUUUUAACUUUCAUUACAUCCGAUUCGAUAACAAUCACAGGUCAUUUGAUGUCAGUCAUAAUCCAUCAUAUCACUUACACAGAGCUUAAAUACCUAACGUGAUGCCCUUUUUAAAUUACAUUUCAUAAAAUAUUAUAUUUUUUUAAGUAUUUUUUUGAUUACCGGUUACUGAUGAGACGCACGUAUGUGAGUGUCUGUUUAGUGCUUGAGAGAGAGAGAGAGAGAAUGCAUAGGCCUGCUGCUAUUCCGAACUGGACAAUUACAUGCAGAACGUCUCCUCGCUUCUCUCUCCUGUCUAUUGCUGAGCUUCAACAUGUUUUAUAAUUCAGAUACUGUGCUGUAAUUUCCACGUCGGUCCACCCGUUUAAUCACUUCAGACGAUGUGUCAGACUUCUCGCCCAUUAAGUACUACAAGCUUCCUACACGAAGAGCAGUCAUCGCUAUCCAUCCCUCUAUGGCUGCUUUCUUACAUUCUGAGUUAUGUCUCCUGAAGACUCUGUUUGCUUUUAUAUAUUUUAAAUAUCAUAUGAACCACUUACAAUAAACUUGGUUUAUGGAUGUCCUUGCUUUUGUCUUUUAUUGGUCCUUGUUUUCAUAUCUGUUUGUGUGUCUUUUGUUAAAGUCUUUUUGUUAAAGUGCUAUACAAACAAAUCUUACUUGAGGUGACUGACUGGCAAAUAAUAUGAUGGGUUGGAUAAGAGAGGGUCACAAUGAUGGAGGCUUUCAGACCGUGUUAUGCAGGUUGAUGGAAAUUUGAAUUGUAACAUUCAUGUAUUGAAUGAGAUCUCAUGUCAUGAUGUCCACCGGUAAUGCCCAGCAAUGGAUGGAGCGCUUUUUCAAAUUAUUAAUAAUAAAAUUGGCUGAAUAGAGAGGGUUCUACUGAAGAUGGCUGUAUGUAGAAAUCUUGUUCAUCUGUGUGUGUGUGUGUGUGUGUUUUACUGCAAUACGAAAAUGUUAUUCUCAG